UGUACCUGUCUGUUUCUCUACCUGUCUGUCUCUCUACCCGUCUGUCUCUCUACCCGUCUGUCUCUCUACCGUCUGUCUCUACCUGUCUGUCUCUCUACCUGUCUGUCUCUCUACCUGUCUGUCUCUCUACCCGUCUCUCUCUCCACACUUAGCAUUAGUUUCUUUCCAUUGUUUGUUUACAAAGACCAAAUGUUGUUGUUGUUGUUGUUGUUUUUCAGCAUCUGUUGUACAGAACGCUUUCAUUCCAUAAAGAAUAAAAUCCACUGCCUUGCUCAAAGCUCCAGGUUUGGCCCUUGAGUCUCGACUGCAUGAAGAGGACACACAAAGGUCAAAGGUCAACUCUCACUUUGAGCCGGCCCUGAAACAGAAACUAUCAGUUAUAUAAUACUUUACUACAGGUACUUCUAGUAAAGUACUUUACUACAGUACUACAGGUACUUCUAGUAGUACUUUACUACAGGUACUUCUAGUAUUACUUUACUACAGUACUACAGGUACUUCUAGUAGUACUUUACUACAGUACUACAGGUACUUCUAGUAGUACUUUACUACAGUACUACAGGUACUUCUGUAAUGAUCACAUGGUUUGGCCUGUGUGUACGGCACCGGGAAAGGGUAAACUUUUUACUCGUUUAUUUUUCUUUAUGUAUAUGUGCCGUACCAGUGUUUUUAUCAGGGGCCUCAAGUGAGCUUGGGUUUAGUUAGGAUAAUGUGUUUUGUAUUAUAAUUGUAAUUAUUAUUAUUGUUGUGUCACGGUCUAUAAAAGGUGACGUGGGGGUUUUUUGUUUGGAGCGCGCUGACAGGCUCCGGUGUUGAGCGGCUCAGGACGGCAGCAAUCCGGCGACUACUUCGAUUGUGGAUUUAUGCCAACGGGCGGGAUCUGUACUGAGAAGACUGCGCAGGAACACUGAACGGGGCCAGCCCGACCGGACUAGGGUGACGCAGCGCGGGGAGUGAACGCGGCGCCUCGCCACGUCUCCGCCUGUUCGGGCCGCUGUUCGCCGGCUCUUUGGGGGGAGGGGGGGGGGGGUUUGUGCGCGUGCAGUCGUUUACUUUUGUUUUGCGGAACUGAAAGACUUUGGGGACUGUCGGGAUCCGGGGAUUAUACUUUGUUUUGAGUGGGUUUGAUUGUUUGCAGUGUGUGUUCAUUUUGGAAGCUUGCUGAUGCAUUGAAUUUUAUUUAAUAUAAUAAUAUUUGAGUUUA